rnacentral:rRNA from 1 species
UAGGGAAUCUUCCGCAAUGGACGAAAGUCUGACGGAGCAACGCCGCGUGAGUGAAGAAGGAUUUCGGUUCGUAAAACUCUGUUGUUAGGGAAGAAAAAAUGUAUAGUAACUAUAUACAAAAGAGACGGUACCUAACCAGAAAGCCACGGCUAACUACGUGCCAGCAGCCGCGGUAAUACGUAGGUGGCAAGCGUUGUCCGGAAUUAUUGGGCGUAAAGCGCGCGCAGGUGGUUUAGAAAGUCUGAUGUGAAAGCACACGGCUCAACCGUGGAGGGUCAUUGGAAACUAAUAAACUUGAGUGCAGGAGAGAAAAGUGGAAUUCCUAGUGUAGCGGUGAAAUGCGUAGAGAUUAGGAGGAACACCGGUGGCGAAAGCGGCUUUUUGGCCUGCAACUGACACUGAGGCGCGAAAGCGUGGGGAGCAAACAGG